rnacentral:rRNA from 1 species
GUUGUUUUGCCAAAGGUAUAGCUGGGUAGCAAUUUGGGGAAGGGAUAAGCGCUGAAAGCAUCUAAGUGCGAAGCCCCCCUCAAGAUGAGAUUUCCCAUGAUUUUAUAUCAGUAAGAGCCCUGAGAGAUGAUCAGGUAGAUAGGUUAGGAGUGUAAGUGUAGCGAUACAUGUAGCGGACUAAUACUAAUAGCUCGAGGACUUAUCCAAAA